rnacentral:rRNA from 1 species
CCUACGGGUGGCAGCAGUAGGGAAUCUUUCACAAUGGGCGAAAGCCUGAUGGAGCAACGCCGCGUGCAGGAUGAAGGCCUUCGGGUUGUAAACUGCUUUUAUAAGCGAGAAAUAUGAUGGUAACUUAUGAAUAAGGAUCGGCUAACUACGUGACAACAGCCGCGGUCAUACGUAGGAUCCGAGCAUUAUCCGGAGUGACUGGGUGUAAAGAGUUGCGUAGGUGGCAUAAUAAGUAGCUAGUGAAAUCUGGUGGCUCAACCAUUCAGACUAUUAGCUAAACUGUUAAGCUCGAGACCGUUAGGGGUAACUGGAAUGUCUAGUGUAGGAGUGAAAUGCGUAGAUAUUAGAAGGAACACCAAUAGCGUAGGCAGGUUACUGGGACGGUUCUGACACUAAGGCACGAAAGCGUAGGGAGCAAACGGGAUUAGAUACCCGAGUAGUC